UCCUAUUGAAUAAUGCCCCGUAGGCCAUCCUAAAGUUAAAAAAAUGUACAGUAACCACUUAACAUAUGCAAAGUAUUAAAUUCACUAUAAAUUAAGACACCCAGUCCAUCUGCAAACCAAAGGACAUCUGUUCCUUAGUUUAAAGAUUCAGUACAUCGUCCUCUCCAAUUUAAUGUGAACUAUGACAACGCCAUAAAGAGUAUAACCCUUUUCACUUAAAUGAAG